AUGAUGACAAAAUUUUUUUGGAGAGCUAGCGCUGCGAUGUGCUUCCAGUAUACCAUCUUUCGGGACUGA